UACGUAGGGUGCGAGCGUUGUCCGGAAUUAUUGGGCGUAAAGAGCUCGUAGGCGGUUUGUCGCGUCGGCCGUGAAAUCUCCACGCUUAACGUGGAGCGUGCGGUCGAUACGGGCAGACUUGAGUUCGGCAGGGGAGACUGGAAUUCCUGGUGUAGCGGUGAAAUGCGCAGAUAUCAGGAGGAACACCGGUGGCGAAGGCGGGUCUCUGGGCCAAAACUGACGCUGAGGAGCGAAAGCGUGGGGAGCGAACAGG
rnacentral:rRNA from 1 species